AUGGGCCAUUUGGAGGCGGCCUGCCGAUUUCCGAUGGUUCCUGGGCGGGUGGAGGAUCCGCCACCAGUGGCGGUGGACCCAGGUGGCGGGUCGGUUUCGGCGCCCCCCGAUGACGGGGAGGAGAACCCAGGGCUGGUGUUUGGCCCCUGGAUGGUGGCGACGCGGCGGAGGCCUCCGCCGCGGGAGUCUCGACCACCACGGUCGAAGGAGACUCAACCAGUGCCUGGAUCGGCCCCGUCCCGGCCGCCUUCUCCGGUAGCUAGACCGGAGAUGUCUGUGCCUGACCCGAGGCCUG
rnacentral:lncRNA from 1 species